GUGCUCGCUUUGGCAGCACAUAUAGUAAAAUUGGAAUGAUACAAAGAAGAUUAGUAUGACCCUUGUGCAAAGAUGACACACACAUCUGUUAAGUGUUGAAAGUGGUA